GGGGGAUAAAUUAAUAAAGUAUAAAUAAUAAAAAAAUUUUUAAUAUUAAAAUAGUUUAAUGGGGGUUAAAGUAUAUUUAAUAGAAAAAAUAAAAAAAUUUAUAGAAAAUUAGUAUUGUAAAAGAAAUUUGAAAUAUUUUGAAAAUGAAUUUAUUUAAAAGUAAAUUUAAUUUAUUGUAUCUUGUGUAUCAGAGUUUAUUAAUAAUGAUUUUUAUUUAAAAAUUUCUCGAAUUUAAAAGAGAUAAUUGAUUAUUAAAGUUAAUGUUGUAUAAUUAUUUUAAAUAAUUAAUUUGAAAUGAAAUGUUAAUCGUUUUUAAAUAUAUCUAGUUUUUUUAGAAAAAAAUUUAAUUUUAAAUUUUAAAAAAUAUAAUUUUAAUUAAUUAAAAUUAUAUUUUUAAAAUUAAAUAUUUUAAGGGAUAAGCUUUAAAAUAAAUUUUUAUAAUAAAUUUAAAAAUAAUUAAAAUUUUUAAAAUUUAUAUUGUUUAAAAAUUAUAAUUUUUUAUAAAUAAUUUUAAUUAAAAUAAAAUUUAAAAUUUAUUUAAUUUUUUAUUAAAAAAUAUUUUUUAAUAAUUAAAAUUUAGAUAUAAUGAUAAAAUUAGUAUAUAAUUAAAUAAAGAUAAUUUAUUAUUUAAUAAUUUAAUAAAAGGAAUUCGGCAAAUAUUUAUAUUCACUUGUUUAUCAAAAACAUGUCUUUUUGAUUAAUAAUUUAAAGUCUAAUCUGCCCACUGAUAAUAUAUUAAAGGGCUGCAGUAUUUUGACUGUACAAAGGUAGCAUAAUCAUUAGUCUCUUAAUUGGUGACUUGUAUGAAAGAUUUGAUGAAAUAUAUACUGUCUCUAAUUAAUUUGUAAAAUUUAAUUUUUUAGUUAAAAAGCUAAAAUAAAUUUAAAAGACGAGAAGACCCUAUAGAGUUUAAUAUUUAUAUAAAUUGAGAUUUUAUAUAAGAAUUAUAAUUUUAAUAAUAUAUAAAUAUUUUGUUGGGGUGACAAAAAAAUUAAAAUAACUUUUUUUAUAUUUUUACAUUUAUAAAUGAAUAAAUGAUCCAUAAUUUAUGAUUAUAAGAAAAAAUUACCUUAGGGAUAACAGCGUAAUUUUUUUUUUUAGUUCAAAUAAGAAAAAAAGUUUGCGACCUCGAUGUUGGAUUAAGAUAAAAUUUAAAUGCAAAAGUUUAAAAUUUUUGAUCUGUUCGAUCAUUAAAAUCUUACAUGAUCUGAGUUCAAACCGGUGUAAGCCAGGUUGGUUUCUAUCUUUAGAUUAAUAAAAUAUUUUAGUACGAAAGGAUCAAAUAUUUAAAAUAAUUUUAUAUAAAAGAAUUUUAAUAAUAGUUAAAUAAAUUUA
rnacentral:rRNA from 1 species